GGAAGGUCACACUGUUUAUACAGGCUUUGGUUGCCUGGUUACUGGUUACAUAGUGAGGUAGAGGUUGUUUAUGUUGUCUGGUUACAUAGUGAGGUAGAAGUUGUUUAUGUUGUCUGGUUACAUAGUGAGGUAGAGGUUGUUUAUGUUGUCUGGUUACAUAGUGAGGUAGAGGUUGUUUAUGUUGUCUGGUUACUGGUUACAUAGUGAGGUAGAGGUUGUUUAUGUUGUCUGGUUACUGGUUACAGAGUGAGGUAAAGGUUGUUUAUGUUGUCUGGUUACAUAGUGAGGUAGAAGUUGUUUAUGUUGUCUGGUUACAUAGUGAGGUAGAGGUUGUUUAUGUUGUCUGGUUACAGAGUGAGGUAGCGGUUGUUUAUGUUGUCUGGUUACUGGUUACAUAGUGAGGUAGAGGUUGUUUAUGUUGUCUGGUUACAUAGUGAGGUAGAGGUUGUUUAUGUUGUCUGGUUACUGGUUACAUAGUGAGGUAGAGGUUGUUUAUGUUGUCUGGUUACUGGUUACAGAGUGAGGUAAAGGUUGUUUAUGUUGUCUGGUUACAUAGUGAGGUAGAAGUUGUUUAUGUUGUCUGGUUACAUAGUGAGGUAGAGGUUGUUUAUGUUGUCUGGUUACAUAGUGAGGUAGAGGUUGUUUAUGUUGUCUGGUUACUGGUUACAUAGUGAGGUAGAGGUUGUUUAUGUUGUCUGGUUACUGGUUACAGAGUGAGGUAAAGGUUGUUUAUGUUGUCUGGUUACAUAGUGAGGUAGAAGUUGUUUAUGUUGUCUGGUUACAUAGUGAGGUAGAGGUUGUUUAUGUUGUCUGGUUACAGAGUGAGGUAGCGGUUGUUUAUGUUGUCUGGUUACUGGUUACAUAGUGAGGUAGAGGUUGUUUAUGUUGUCUGGUUACAUAGUGAGGUAGAGGUUGUUUAUGUUGUCUGGUUACUGGUUACAUAGUGAGGUAGAGGUUGUUUAUGUUGUCUGGUUACUGGUUACAGAGUGAGGUAAAGGUUGUUUAUGUUGUCUGGUUACAUAGUGAGGUAGAAGUUGUUUAUGUUGUCUGGUUACAUAGUGAGGUAGAGGUUGUUUAUGUUGUCUGGUUACAUAGUGAGGUAGAGGUUGUUUAUGUUGUCUGGUUACAGAGUGAAGUAGCGGUUGUUUAUGUUGUCUGGUUACUGGUUACAUAGUGAGGUAGAGGUUGUUUAUGUUGUCUGGUUACAUAGUGAGGUAGAGGUUGUUUAUGUUGUCUGGUUACAGAGUGAGGUAGAGGUUGUUUAUGUUGUCUGGUUAUAGAGUGAGGUAGAGUUUGUUUAUGUUGUCUGGUUAUAGAGUGAGGUAGAGGUUGUUUAUGUUGUCUGGUUACAUAAUGAGGUAGAGGUUGUUUAUGUUGUCUGGUUACAUAGUGAGGUAGAGGUUGUUUAUGUUGUCUGGUUACAUAAUGAGGUAGAGGUUGUUUAUGUUGUCUGGUUACAUAGUGAGGUAGAGGUUGUUUAUGUUGUCUGGUUACAUAAUGAGGUAGAGGUUGUUUAUGUUGUCUGGUUACAUAGUGAGGUAGAGGUUGUUUAUGUGCGUGCGUGCGUGAGUGCGUGCGUGCG